UACUCAGCAAAUGUCCCGUUUGGCUGUAGUGGACUAGCUUUAUGUGGGGUUAAGUCAAGCAGUUGCUUUUAGUUGGUCAGGUUAUUAUUACUAGUAGAAAGCCAGGUUUUAGCAUUAACCCAAGUUCUUAACCCAAAGUACCCUUUCCAAAUGGAAAGAAUACCACUUACCAUUACCAUAAGCAUGAUCAUAACCAUCCUCGUCAUCAUCUGUAAACCAACCAUCUCUGAUCGAAGUAUCUCUAAUCAAAGAGGAUCCCAAGGCCGCUCAUAACCGUGAGUACGGCUGAUAUAUCAGUUUCAUUACCCUCUGCAGAGGUCGCACACUUUACCCAUGAGCCGUGAUUCCCGUUUUGCCCAGGGAUCAUGACUCCCCAUUGAUCACUUCCUAGGUGGUCCGGCAGGGUAUCACUACGUAGCUUUUACAAAGAUUCCCUAGAGGUCAUAGCCGCCCGUUAGGUUUCUCCAGUUUGAUAAACACAGUACUCCUCCCCGUAGGAGGGUGACUAACAAAAGCAAAACGAAAGGACCUCGGCACCCAGCCUCGGCAGAGCAAGCACUGUGCCUGGACCCCAUUGACGGCACGACGGCGAAGCAACUACACCUCUAGUUCCUCUAAUUAAUUAGCUAAGGGCAUCCCAUUUCACCCUCAUGGUUGCACUGUUAUCCCGGGUGGUCUCUCAACGAACAGGUCCUUACGGAGAGGCACUCGAGAAACCGCUCGAGCCCCCUUAAAUGUCACAAGUAAAUCAUCAUAUCCAGAAUAAAACCAUAGUAUCAUCAUUGUAUCUCAUCAUGUUCAUUGACUAAAGUAAAGCGCUAGCAUGAAGCUAACCAUAGUAGCCCAAAAGGUAAUCAAGGACCAGGUAAAUAGAAAGCUAGUAAAUCCUUAGGUUGUUCAUAGUAUGCGGGACAGUGUAUUAUAAAGUAAAUGGGACAUAAUGGGUCAGAGGACACUUGCCUUCACCAAACAGAUGCUCAGGGUCUUUGAUCUCAUAGAACUCGAAGAGUUCGAUCACUUGGUCGCCAUGCUUGAUCGUCGAUUCCUCGAAGCUCAGAAACGAACCGCGAUCUAAUCGCAACGCGACGCGAAGACGAACAGGCACAAGCAAACAAACAUAUACAUAUGCAUAAGAACAUUACAUCAUACAAGAUAAAAUGUUAUAAAAGCGAGCAAUAUAAAAUAGAGAGCGCCUCUACGGUUACGCGAGGAAAAGAACCACUAUAGUCGAAGCUACGGUCGAGGGGUUAGCGCGUUUACGUUAAACAAGUACUAAUUAGAACAUCCAAUUCAACAUAAUUAUAUUAAUUGAUAUUAAUCAAAUAUAAAUUAAUACUACUACUUAGUUUUGACUAACUUACUAUUUUAAUAGUUGACAGUUAAGCAAGUAACUUAAUGAAUAUGAGCGAUUCUAAGCGAGACGAAUCAACGACGCACGACGUGCAAACACGAUGUGCGCAACGCGCGGACACAAACGACUUAGCGCGCGGACAACGCGUGAUACGCGCGAACGGCACGCGGCAAGGCGCGCGACACACGCGAACGGCACACGACAACGCGUGCGAACAACACGCGCAACACUCGCGAACGACACGCGACGACGUGCGCGAAACAGCACCGCGACACGCGCGGACCGAUAUGCGAAACUAAUAAUUAAACAACGUGAUUAAACUAAAUAAUUAUUAAUAACUAAUAUUUCAGUUAAAGUUAAUCAUAUUGGUGACUAAUUAUAAAUGCACAAAUCGAAUUCCUAAAUUAGAUUUUUAAAUUAAAAUGUCGUUCUAGUAGCCACUGAUUAAACAAACGUUUAACUAAAUUAAAUAAAAUGUGCAAAAAUUGGGAUAAAUAUUUCUAAAUUAAGAUUAUUUUAAUACGAAUCUAACGCAACUUGAAUGGAUCGAAUCGGGUUUAAAACGCAAAAGUUAUGAAUGUUUUAAACCAUACUGUAAUUCGCGCGGACUAAAUUUACAGAAUUGCCAUCUUCUUCCUCUCUUCAUCUUCUUCCUCCCAUCCAUGGAAGAGAGAGGAGAGGAAGGGGAGGGGGCUGCGCAGGGGAGGUCGGGGUUGGGCCGGCCGGGGCGGGCGCGGCCGCACCGGGCGCGCGGGGCGCGGCCACAGCCGCCGGGGAGGGGUGCGCGCGGGCGCGGGAGCACGGGACGCGGGCGUCACCGCCGGCCACCGCCGCCGCCGCCGGGGAGGGAGAAAGGGGCGCCGUCGAGGAGGGGAAACGGAGGGGGGAGGGGCGCCGCCGCCGGGGAAGGUGAGGGGAGAGUGGGAGAGGCUCUGCACGGACGGGAAAACGAAGAAACGAAGAAACCCUAGGUGCAACAAUGGAGGUUUCUCACCGGGGAAGAAGACCCUCGCCGGAGCCGAGGAGAAAUCCGUCGAUUGCCGGAGAUUCGGGGAUCCAAUCGACGAACCGAACGCGCUGCGACGAAGCCCUCGACGAGACGAACGCAGCGGUACCCUCGGAUUCGACAGACGAUGCACGGAUUGGGAGUAAUUGCUCGCCGGAGUUGUCGCCGGAGUUGGAACCGCCCCGAACUUCGGCGAGCAAUACCGGGAGCUAGGGAUUGGAUUUGGGGGAAACGUUUUGUGUUCUGGAACGGGCUCGACGAGAUGAAGCCGGACAUGUAUAUAUACCUAGGGUUUGGACGAGAUAAAAAUUCAGUUAAAAUUCGGAUUUUACUAUUUUUAAAAUUCGAAAAAGCCUAGAAAUCCAUAUUUUAUGCUCAAAAUAUUAUAGAUACUUUCAAAAAUUCCAGAAAAAUUCCUAUAAAUGUUUUGGGACCUAAUGAACUCAAAAAACAUAAUUAGAAUUUCUAAAAACAUUUUUAAGUUCCACAAAUAAAUAGAUUUUGGUUUCCGGAAAAUAGAAAAAUAUUUCGAAAAAUAUGAAAAUUUACCGAGCGCUUCUAUAAGAUAUCUUAACAUGUUUCAAACACAUUUUGCACUUAAAAACACCAUGCAACGGCAUGAAUGCAACAACCAAAGUGCCUCUAGGGCUCAUUCCACUAGGUUUACGCUAAUAUAAAACAAAAUAAUUCUCCAUUCUUAGGGAAAAGAGAAAGGAAAGCGAAGAACUCAGAGAGUAACACCUGAAUUUGGUGGAUAUUAGAAAAGAAAUUUUAUACCCCCAAAUUCAGGGUGUUACAAAUCUAACCCCCUUAACAGAAUCUCGUCCUCGAGAUUCAAGAAGAGACUAGCAGGAAAAUGAGAUUGGUUCAUUAGUAUUUCAUAGCUUUUUCUAACUCAACUUUGACUCCGCCGGCUUGACUUGUGGAUUGGUUGCUUUGACCAUCAGAUGCUUGAGACCGAUUGAUGCAAUUCUUGAGGAUCUCCUGGACCUGUGGGUUAGGACCCACACACGCUUUCGCUGCGCCAAUCUGAUCUUGUUGGUUGAUGUUGAUUGCAUUGUCUUUAUUGGGGGUUAGCGGCUAACCCCCUUAACAAGAGCAUUGAUACAUACUUGAUGAAGAUGUUGUCGACUCUGAUCUUGACUGAUUUGGAGGAGUUGGAGGUUGCCAAAAGGACAGGUGCAAGAGGAAAGAAUAACGAGAAAAGGUAAGUAUAGACAGAUUAGAGAGAGCAGGGGGAGAACUCAACUACUUAACUCUAUGGCACUCACCUAGUAAACAGAUUCCAUUACGGUCCAAGGGCCACAACACAUCAACACUCAUUCCAAAGAAGCAAAUCAGUCACAGCAGAAGGACAACCAUCAUGAGCACACAUCAACAAACAUCUCGUUGAUAUACGUUCCUUUUAAUUAAAUGGUGGUCUUUCUUGAAAAGGGAAUAACUACUCUCUAAGGUUGUUGAAGGACAAGGAGAAGAACAAGACGUGUAGGAUGGGGACACGAGCACAAUAAGGGAUGGAGUUAAAGCAAGGACUGUAAUUUACAAGGGAGAAAAUGCAACCAAUAGUAGGGUAGGUAAACACCAUUCUCAAAUCGAGAUGGGAAAGAUGAUAUUUCAAAAGGUAGGCAUAGGAUAAGCAUCAUGAAAAGAUCUAGAGAUUACAAAGGUAAGCGAGGUAACAGGCAAAAGCCCACCAAAAUAUUGAGUUAAGGCAAGACUUGCAACACGACAGAGGAAAAAGGGAACGAACAAGAGCGAGAUAGGGAAAACAACAUUCUUGGAUUGAAAUGGAAUAAGUGAGGCUAAAAAAAAUAAUUAAACAUUAUGGUAAACAUGGAGAGAGGUCAAGGGUCAAAGGUGAUGAUAGGCAAGGAUAUAAAGGAAGAGGUAAAUGUGCAUAAAAAACCAGGAAUCUAGGUACAACCAAGAAUAGAGUUCAGAUAAGUCUUGCAAGUGGUAACGUAUGGGAUAUAACCACGGGUGAGAUAAGUAAGAGACCACGCUGGAACUAAGCUGGGAGAUUGGAGGCUUUAGAUAACGAACAUAGCGUAAUUACCAAGGUAAGAUUGAGAGAUGAUAAGGGUAAAGGCAAUAAGAAGCAAAAGCACAACAAAGGGUGAGGUUACAAACUCGUGAGCCAAAGAAGAGGAUACGACCAAGAGAAAGAAGGUAUGAGACGGAAGAGGGGCGAUUUUAAAGGGCAGGUAUGAGGCAAACAUCAAUGUAGGAUAUAGAGGUGUCAAGGGUGCAUAUGAUAAUAAUUAAAAAGCAUAACAAAGGAUAUAGUUAAGACAAGACUCGCGAAACGACAAAGUGGAGAAAACAAUCAAGGGUAAGAUCGGUAAGGUUCCAACAUAAGGGUUGAAGUAAAGAUUCAUUACCGAGUGGAGUUACAAGGAAACAACGAGAUUACUACAGGUGUGCAAAAUAAAACGAUCACUCAUGGAUCAUUAGGAAACAAGGGUGGUCAAGGGCAUGUUAACCGAAAUAUUUCAAACAGAUAUUGGGAUAUAAAGGUAAGCAUAUAUAAAAAUAGGAGUAUGCAAGAUUCCAAUGGUACGAGCAUACCAAGACCAAGAAAGUACAAUUUGCCAAAAAGAUAGAGACUUAACAAGAGAAUAGGAAAGGGUCUCAAAAGACAGUAAGAUCAUGGACAUAUAAACUGAAAUGUUUAAAUAGGCAGUAGAGGUACAAGGGUAAGUGCUUUAGAUUAAGGGAUAAGGGUAUUAAAAAUGCAAGAAUACGAGCAUGUCAAUAACAAAAUGGAAUAGAGAUGGUCAAAUUGUAGCAAUUUAAUAAUGGAUGAUGUCGGGGACCAUAAUUAGGGGUACCCUCAAGGCGCCUAAUUCUCAGCUGGUAACCCCCAUCAGCAUAAAGCUGCAAAGGCCUGAUGGGCACGAUUAAGUCAGGGAUCAGUCCACACGAGUGACUCGAUCACGCUUCAUCCGAGCCUAGCCUCGGCCAAAGGCAGCCGACCUCGAGAGACUUCCGUCUCGCCCGAGGCCCCCUUUUUAUGGCGGACACAUCAUCGGCUCGCCCAAGGCCUUGGCUUCGCUCAGAAGCAACCUUGACCAAAUCACCACACCGACUGACCAAAUUGCAGGGGCAUUUAACGCAAAGGUGGCCUGACACCUCUAUCCUGACACGCGCCCCCGGCAGAGCCGAGGUGACCGCCGUCACUCCACCGCCCCACUGGCCAGUCUGACAAAAGGACAGCACCGCCUGCGCCACUCCGACUGCAGUGCCACUCGACAGAGUAAGUCUGACAGGCAGUCAGGCCUUGCCAAAGGCGCCACGGCGAACUCCGCUCCGCCCGACCCCAGGGCUCGGACUCGGGCUAAGACCCGGAAGACGGCGAACUCCGCUCCGCCCGACCCCAGGGCUCGGACUCCGCCCUGGCCUCGGCCGAACGACUUCCGCCUCGCCCGACCCCUUGGCUCGGGCUCGGCCACGGCAACAGAAGGCAGACUCAACCUCGGCUUCGGAGGAAACCCCACGUCGCCCUGCCUAGGGCACAGACCGCCACGUCAACAGGAGGCGCCAUCAUCAUCCCACCCCGAAUCGACUCGGGUCACGGAGAACAAGACCGACGUCUCAUCCGGCCAGCUCCGCCAGAGAGGCAAUGAUGGCGCUCCACGAGCUCUAUGACGACGGCGGCCCCCAGCUCUCUUACGGAAGCAGGACAACGUCAGCAGGGACUCGACCGCUCCAACAGCUGUCCCUCCAUCAGGCUCCGCCGCACCUCCGACAGCCACGACAUCACGCCAGCAGGGUGCCCAGAUCUCUCCGGCUGCCACAUUGGCAUGUACCUAGGGCGCUAGCUCUCCCUCCGCUAGACACGUAGCACUCUGCUACAUCCCCAUUGUACACCUGGAUCCUCUCCUUACGACUAUAAAAGGAAGGACCAGGGCCUUCUCAGAGGAGGUUGGCCGCGCGGGACCGAGGACGGGACAGGCGCUCUCUUGGGGCCGCUCGCUUCCCUCACCCGCGUGGACGCUUGUAACCCCCCUACUGCAAGCGCACCUGACCUGGGCGCGGGACGAACACGAAGGCCGCGGGACUUCCACCUCUCUCACGCUCGGCUCCGGCCACCUCGCCUCUCCCCCCUUCGCGCUCGCCCACGCGCUCGACCCAUCUGGGCUGGGGCACGCAGCACACUCACUCGUCGGCUUAGGGACCCCCCUGUCUCGAAACGCCGACAGAUGAGGAAAGAGUCCCAAAAGACUAAAGGCUAUGGUCAGGGGGCAUCUACAAAGAUGUCGCAAGCACAAGAUGAGAUCAGAUCUAAUAGAUUGAGAGAAGUAUAGACCAUACUAGAAUAAAAUAAUUUUUGUCAAGGGGGCAUAUAGGAGCACAACAUAGAAUUAGUCAAGGUGACUAAUAUUUUGAAGCAGAAUCAAGGAUGAGAUGAAGUAAUAAUCAAUAAGUCCUUAAAACGGCCAAUGCUAAACUAGGGCAGCGGUCCUACAGUCAGCACGGCUUUGAUACCACUUAUGUCACACCCGGUUUUGAAGGUAAACCGAAUGCGAACCAUGUACGUGCCAGGAUCAGUAAUUCACGUACACAGCGAUUACAUAAAUGACUCAUCAUAGCACAAUGCUUCGAAUUAUAAUAAAGAGUAAGUAAUAAUAUUACAGACUAGAGCCAUUUACAUAAUAUAAAUCAAAGUACACAGAAUCGAAACGUAGCCAACGUAAACAACCCACCACAGGCAGCUGACUGGGGGAGGUCGCUAGCCUAAUCCUCGAAGUCAUCGAAGUCCUAGAACUCCUGGAGAUCCGCCUCGCGCCUUCUUCUUUACCUGAGCAUAGAUUGCACCAAAGGCAACCUGGUGUUUUGUGAAAGCAAGGGUGAGUACACAUCAACGUACUCAGCAAAUGUCCCGUUUGGCUGUAGUGGACUAGCUUUAUGUGGGGUUAAGUCAAGCAGUUGCUUUUAGUUGGUCAGGUUAUUAUUACUAGUAGAAAGCCAGGUUUUAGCAUUAACCCAAGUUCUUAACCCAAAGUACCCUUUCCAAAUGGAAAGAAUACCACUUACCAUUACCAUAAGCAUGAUCAUAACCAUCCUCGUCAUCAUCUGUAAACCAACCAUCUCUGAUCGAAGUAUCUCUAAUCAAAGAGGAUCCCAAGGCCGCUCAUAACCGUGAGCACGGCUGAUAUAUCAGUUUCAUUACCCUCUGCAGAGGUCGCACAC
rnacentral:lncRNA from 1 species